CAGAGCUGCAGCAUGGUGAGGUUUCUGCAGUGAGGUGAGAGGACACUCAAGGUCAGCUGUGGGCAAAAGGAUCUCACCAGAAGCUCUGCCAAAGGAGCAGCGAGGGGAACAGCCCCAGCCGUGCCGGGGAUUGUGCCCAGGUGACAUCAACUCCAACACAGGGUUUCAGUCCCAAAUACCCCAGAGCUGGAGGGAGAAAGCCCCAUCCCUGUGUUGGGUGCGGGGUGCUGGCCCAGCUGCAGCUGAGGAGCACCAAGAGCAGUGACUGCAAAGGAGCCAGAAAG